UACGGAAGGCAGCAGUGGGGAAUAUUGCACAAUGGGCGCAAGCCUGAUGCAGCCAUGCCGCGUGUAUGAAGAAGGCCUUCGGGUUGUAAAGUACUUUCAGUCGUGAGGAAGGUGUUAAGGUUAAUAACCUUAGCAAUUGACGUUAGCGACAGAAAAAGCACCGGCUAACUCCGUGCCAGCAGCCGCGGUAAUACGGAGGGUGCGAGCGUUAAUCGGAAUUACUGGGCGUAAAGGGCACGCAGGCGGUUAAUUAAGUUGGAUGUGAAAUCCCCGGGCUUAACCUGGGAAUGGCAUUCAAGACUGGUUAGCUAGAGUCUUGUAGAGGGGGUAGAAUUCCAUGUGUAGCGGUGAAAUGCGUAGAGAUGUGGAGGAAUACCGGUGGCGAAGGCGGCCCCUGGACAAAGACUGACGCUCAUGUGCGAAAGCGUGGGGAGCAAACAGGGAUUAGAUACC
rnacentral:rRNA from 1 species